AGGACGAACGCUGGCGGCGUGCCUAAUACAUGCAAGUCGAACGGUCUUUCUAUGGAAGCUUGCUUCCACUGAGAAGAUAGUGGCGAACGGGUGAGUAACACGUUGGGGUAACCUGCCCAUAAGAGGGGGAUAACAUCCGGAAACGGGUGCUAAUACCGCAUAGUUUUCUUGAUCGCAUGAUCGGGAAAGGAAAGACGGCCUUUGUGCUGUCGCUUAUGGAUGGACCCGCGGCGUAUUAGUUAGUUGGUGAGGUAACGGCUCACCAAGACGAUGAUACGUAGCCGACCUGAGAGGGUGAUCGGCCACAUUGGGACUGAGACACGGCCCAAACUCCUACGGGAGGCAGCAGUAGGGAAUCUUCCGCAAUGGACGAAAGUCUGACGGAGCAACGCCGCGUGAGUGAAGAAAGGUUUUCGGAUCGUAAAACUCUGUUGUCAGAGAAGAACAAGUUGGAGAGUAACUGCUCCAGCCUUGACGGUAUCUGACCAGAAAGCCACGGCUAACUACGUGCCAGCAGCGGC
rnacentral:rRNA from 1 species